rnacentral:misc_RNA from 1 species
AGAUUACUUCUUUGAAUUUGUCUGCUGCUUAAUUUUCUCUCUUGAAUUGAGUUCUUAUUGCCUUAGCUCAUGAAAGCAAUGAUGAAAUCUAUUUGGGCAUAUCAGUGGUCGUGCAUAAACGAAGAUUGAUUAGCAAUUUGACCCAGAUAAUAAUUUUCUUGCAAGAGAAAAAUAAGUUGAAGCUGAUAAUUUAUUUUAGGGUUUUAGUCUCGAGGAUUUGGGAAUUCGAACUUUCUACUCUUUUGGGAUUUCUGAUAGACUGAUACACUUCCCUGAUUGUUUACCUCAUUGGAGUAUGACUCUGCCUGUUAUUUU